rnacentral:rRNA from 1 species
AUUGAACGCUGGCGGCAGGCCUAACACAUGCAAGUCGAGCGGAUGAAGGGAGCUUGCUCCUGGAUUCAGCGGCGGACGGGUGAGUAACGCCUAGGAAUCUGCCUGGUAGUGGGGGAUAACGUCCGGAAACGGGCGCUAAUACCGCAUACGUCCUGAGGGAGAAAGUGGGGGAUCUUCGGACCUCGCGCUAUCAGAUGAGCCUAGGUCGGAUUAGCUAGUUGGUGGGGUAAAGGCCUACCAAGGCGACGAUCCGUAACUGGUCUGAGAGGAUGAUCAGUCACACUGGAACUGAGACACGGUCCAGACUCCUACGGGAGGCAGCAGUGGGGAAUAUUGGACAAUGGGCGAAAGCCUGAUCCAGCCAUGCCGCGUGUGUGAAGAAGAUCUUCGGAUUGUAAAGCACUUUAAGUUGGGAGGAAGGGCAGUAAGUUAAUACCUUGCUGUUUUGACGUUACCAACAGAAUAAGCACCGGCUAACUUCGUG